rnacentral:tRNA from 1 species
GGGGGUGCAGCUCAGUGGUAGCGUAAUGCUUAGCAUGUGCAGUGCCCUGGGUUUAAUUCCCAGCUCCACCA